rnacentral:rRNA from 1 species
GAUGAAGCCCUUCGGGGUGGAUUAGUGGCGAACGGGUGAGUAACACGUGGGCAAUCUGCCCUUCACUCUGGGACAAGCCUUGGAAACGAGGUCUAAUACCGGAUAACACUCCCAUUCUCCUGGAUGGGGGUUAAAAGCUCCGGCGGUGAAGGAUGAGCCCGCGGCCUAUCAGCUUGUUGGUGAGGUAAUGGCUCACCAAGGCGACGACGGGUAGCCGGCCUGAGAGGGCGACCGGCCACACUGGGACUGAGACACGGCCCAGACUCCUACGGGAGGCAGCAGUGGGGAAUAUUGCACAAUGGGCGAAAGCCUGAUGCAGCGACGCCGCGUGAGGGAUGACGGCCUUCGGGUUGUAAACCUCUUUCAGCAGGGAAGAAGCGCAAGUGACGGUACCUGCAGAAGAAGCGCCGGCUAACUACGUGCCAGCAGCCGCGGUAAUACGUAGGGCGCAAGCGUUGUCCGGAAUUAUUGGGCGUAAAGAGCUCGUAGGCGGCUUGUCACGUCGAUUGUGAAAGCUCGGGGCUUAACCCCGAGUCUGCAGUCGAUACGGGCUAGCUAGAGUGUGGUAGGGGAGAUCGGAAUUCCUGGUGUAGCGGUGAAAUGCGCAGAUAUCAGGAGGAACACCGGUGGCGAAGGCGGAUCUCUGGGCCAUUACUGACGCUGAGGAGCGAAAGCGU